UCUCCGUUGGUGAACCAGCGGAGGGAUCAUUACCGAAGUUACCCUUCAAAACCCAUUGUGAACCAUACCUCUUGCCGCGUUGUCUCGGCGGGAGGCGCUGGGGCCUCGGCUCCGCGUCCCCGCCGGCAGCGCCAAGCUCUAAACUGCAAAGCGUACUGCAUGUUCUGAUUUACAAAAAAAACAAGUUAAAACUUUCAACAACGGAUCUCUUGGUUCUG
rnacentral:misc_RNA from 1 species